CUGGGCUGGUGCUCACACUGUCAGAGCUUGGGCAAAGUGGGUAACCUUUGACAAUGCCCACUCUUUGAAAUGGUCCAUCCAAGGGAUUUCAAGAGGUCAGCAUCUUGUGUCAGGUAUUUUAUAAAGGAGCCUUCUUUCCUACAUGUGGAGCCCAGCUGGGGAGAAGUAUGUUAAGAAGCCAGCCUUGAAAUACCCAUAUGACACAUCAUCAAUUCAAGACCAGUCCUCACUUUUCUGCCACUUCGUUAGGGGAUUUUUUCAGACACUGUGGGACAGGAGGCCUUGAGAGGGGUCAGUGCUCUUUCUAUCAGGAGUUCAAUGAAAAGUCUUAUCUUUGCCAGCCUCAAAAAUAAGGUCAAGAAGAAACAGUCUCUCGGUUUACAGUUGGACAGUUGUAGCCUCAAGAACAAAUGAGGUAUUAAUAUUAGCUAGGAAUCUCUGACAAGGACCAGAACUUGCAUCCUCAGAUAUCUUCAGUGUUGUGGGUCUUCAGCACAGCCUUGAAGAUAAUUCCUAAAAAGGCUCAGUCCACAAAAAUAUCACCAACUUCAAAACAAAUUCACAUCACAUCAUUAUUGCUCAGGAACAAAUGCUUCAGAUAAAAGUAGAAAAGCCAGAUAACUCAAACUACAGAGGAAGAAAUGAGACCUCAAACUUUUGCUGCCACUUGGGAACAACAUUUUUUUUUUUAGAUAGGGUCUCACUCUGUCACCCAGGCUAGAGUGCAGUAGAGCAGUCUCGGCUCACUGCAGCCUUGACCUCCCAGGCCUAGGUAACACUCCCACCUCAGCUUCCCGGGUAGCUGGGACUACAGGCAUGCGCCA
rnacentral:lncRNA from 10 species